UACGAAGGGGGCUAGCGUUGUUCGGAUUUACUGGGCGUAAAGCGCACGUAGGCGGUUUGUUAAGUGAGAGGUGAAAUCCCAGAGCUCAACUCUGGAACUGCCUUUCAUACUGGCAAGCUAGAGUCCGGAAGAGGUAAGUGGAACUCCUAGUGUAGAGGUGGAAUUCGUAGAUAUUCGCAGGAACACCCGUGGCGAAGGCGGCCCCCUGGGCCGUACCUGACGCUGAGGCGCGAAGGCUAGGGGAGCGAACGGG
rnacentral:rRNA from 1 species